UACGUAGGGUGCGAGCGUUAAUCGGAAUUACUGGGCGUAAAGCGUGCGCAGGCGGUUCGUUAAGUCAGAUGUGAAAUCCCCGGGCUCAACCUGGGAACUGCAUUUGUGACUGCAUGGCUAGAGUGCGGCAGAGGGGGAUGGAAUUCCGCGUGUAGCAGUGAAAUGCGUAGAUAUGCGGAGGAACACCGAUGGCGAAGGCAAUCCCCUGGACCUGUACUGACGCUCAUGCACGAAAGCGUGGGGAGCAAACAGG
rnacentral:rRNA from 1 species